UCAUUGCGUACACUUCCGACAUUUUAAAUAUAUACGAAUAUACAUUCCUGCUAGUAAUAUAUUCAAUUCAUACAUGCCUAAUCACUUACGUACCUCUAUAAACUUACUUAUGCCUCUUAUACUUAUCUUGCUCCAUUUUAUGCUUGCGCAUGCGCUCAUUGUAGCUCAUGAACAUUUUACAAUGAGUGAGAUUACAUUUUGGGACACUCUAUGGGCUACGGGACUGAUUUAGACGAAUUCUGCACACUUUAAUGAACCUGCAGCUGUCGCAUGGCCGUGCGUCCAACCGCACGACCGUGCGGUACCUACAACGUCGGGGGCACUGGCAGUGCACAAGCCCGUGCAUUGAUUUACUCGGAUAUCGCACGACCGUGCGCCACCAAUUCUUACGGUGACAGCCUACUGUCUUACGGCAGAGU
rnacentral:lncRNA from 1 species